UGGCCUCAAAUCAGGUAGGACUACCCGCUGAACUUAAGCAUAUCGGU
rnacentral:rRNA from 1 species